rnacentral:lncRNA from 1 species
UUUUUUUUUGGACAUUGUAUCAGUAAAAACAAAACUUCCUUCUCUCACAUAGAGGACCUAAGCCACUUUGACCCAGAGGCAGCCUCAAUUUCCAAUCCUGGUGCAGAGCUUCAAAUAAGGGGUUUCUGGACACUGCAUUAUCCGUCUGUCUUAACUUUGUAGUUUCCAAGGAAACAGGACUUUAGAUCCACUUCACAGUCCAGACUUGAUGUUAAACCCUUUGCACACAGCCCUGCUUUGCUUUGAGCCUAUCCAAACACUGCUUUAUUUAAAUUUAACCUAAACUCCAUUAUCCCUCAAAAUCCUAUAAUAACCCCUAUGCUUUCCUUUGUUUGGUGAGAUGCCCCACAGAUCCCCUGGUGAGGGGGUCUCCCUCAUUGGAAUGGCACAAUAAACCUGAUUUUUCUGAAUAAAAACUCCUUUCUGGUGAUCUUAGGCCAACUAGGCUAGGCUAGGAGUCAAAGGAAAGCAAAUAAACCCAAAUACAAAAUUAUAUUUUUAGCAUUUGCCCUAAAGAGAGUCAUAUAGAGAGUAAUGAAAGAGAGACAAAUUAUAGAAUCGUUUGGUUGGUCUGUAACAAAAUAGGGAGGGCUUUCUUGGGUGAUAUCCUCUUGAAGGCUAGUUUUGGAGAAAGAGAAUUUCCCUUCCUUCCACUAAGAACAUGGAACUAGCAACAGAGAUCCUUAAAGAAACCCAUCCCCCUGCCCAACUACAUGUACACUUCCAGACAGGGACAGUUCCUCCUUCAAUGCUGGUGGCCCAUGGGGCUCCCAGAAAAUUGAGUGCAGCCUAAAACAAGUGCCAAAGCACACUCUGGGAUCCAGCUGCCUCCCAGGGCCAGGGCUGAGCUCCUGGGCUGUAUUUUCAGCAGAGAACUGGCAGUCAUAAAUGUCAAGCCCUGAUCAACAUAAUCCCCUUAGUUCUUCUGGCUUAGUUCAGAGCAAGUAGACAUCAAGAUUUCCUAUUUCGGAAAAAAAAAAUUGCUAAACUCAGAUUGGCAUAAUAUUAGUCGCAUUAACAUUAUCUAUGGCUUUUAUCACCAGCAGGUUCAAGAUUAUUUAAACAUUUGGGAGAAUUAGAUUUAUUUGUCAUCAAGACAAAGCACAGCAUUUUUGUGCCUUCUCUGAUGGCUAAGAAUGGUUAUUUUUUCAGGUGGGGGAACUUGUAAGAGAUACCUGGUGUAAUGCUGCAGUAAAAAUAAAAAAUGAAACACAGUGAAGAUAUAGCUCCCUGAUAUCUUCAAUUUCAAGAAACUCCUGUUGCUCUUCUUGCCUCCUUCAGGUCCUACGGCUUUGACCUUGAACAAUGAAAGUCGUACCCACAAGGCUUGGGUAGGCUACUCAGAGUGCCUUCUUGCAUGUAAGGUACUUAUGGAAGUAAACACUAAGGAAAACCACACAUAAACCAAGAACAGUUGCAUUUGUAAUAGCUUGAAAAUUGUUCUAGUCCUAACUUGUUCACCUUUAAAUUACUAUAACUUCCUUGGCUCUACCAGUCCAUGUGUCUGCUCUGCUAAGCAUGUUUUUAAAUGCCAAUAUGUUGAUUUUCUUGACUAAACCAUACUGAAUAAAAAGCUUCAAAGUGUGUUGGCAGGGGAGGGAAGGGUUGAUUCUAAAUCCAACAUUGUGAGAUUGUUUGAGGACACAACUUUUUUUAUAGCAACAGUUUGGGUGCUUUAAAUAACUCAGAUAGGUCAUGCAUGGGUACUCCCAUCCCCAAUGGAUAGCUCCAUCACCAAACUCCAUCCACUUGCCAAAGAUGCAAAGCACAUCUCACCUGCCAAUCUCUACAGGUGUCAGCCUUGCGCGAAGAACAUGACAACCAGCUUCUCAGAAAGGAAAGGGAUCUGCCAAUUCACCUCCCCUGUAUAUUUCACAGACAGGAAAUUUUAAAAGGUUUCAAGUUCCCAAGUUUGGCUGUUUACAUCGAUCCUGCCACUGAUAUGUUGCCAGGGCCUGCCACCUGUCAACAUGGUCCAACCUACCCAAAAAGGAAGCUGUAAGGUGCAUGUGCCAUUACUGUAGAAUAUGGGAUAUUAAAAUAAAAAAUAUUCCAGCUCUUUGAUUUCCUCUGAUUUUGUGGGUAAUACAAUAACCAGAAUGAGAUAGCUGAAACCAAUAAAAUCUGAUUUAUAGCAUUAAAGGCAAUCUUUAUAGCACUUAUUUAUGGUACAUUACAUCUAAAAUCCAAUUUCACAGGCUGCUGUUUGAAACUUUCUGUUCAAUCAUAAAUACACUACAUACACUGUACCUCAGUGCCACAGAGUUAGAUUACAUAAAUGUCCGUAUCCCCAGAAGGUAUUAAAAUUCGGUUACUAUGGUGGUGAGUGAGCUUGACAGUAAUUUUCCUAACCAACUCUUCAACCAAAAAGAUUCAGUCAGCAUUUGAUAAAUACUGAAAAUGCUAGCACUACUAUCAUUAACCACCACCACCCCCACCCACUCGCAAAUCACUGCUCAGAUUAACUCUACAUUCUGGAAUGAAAUUAAUUGAAAAGAAGUAUAGAGAAAUAGGAAAAUUGAUGAUGCUGAAGGAUACUUGCAUUAAUGUCAUUGGGAUACAUUUUCAAGCCAAUGAGCAAAAACACCUUUUGCACAACACCAUCAGUAUUACGAGGAGACACAUGGCUAAGUCUAUACAUGCUACUUUGGAAAUAUAACCUAAGUGUCUACAUUCAUACACUUCAAUAGAGAAGCCUAUAUUCUGCUCAAUUACUAUAAUCAUUGUCAAAGAAAGGGCAAAGAAUACAAUCUGACUUUCAGAGAACUGUCAUUUGAAUCUUAAGCAACUUCACAUUAUUUUAAAAAGGUUUUGUUCUUAAAAAAAGUUCAACUCUCCAUACAUUUUGCUUGCCAUGUAUUAGACAAAUGUAAACAAAGUGGCUGGAAUCUUCGCCUGGCCUGACGAGCAAGGAGACUCUUGCUUGAUGAGAGUCGAUACCCCUCAGCACUUAAGUUUUGUUUCCUAAACACAUUUCAAACUCAUUGUCCUCCAGAAAUGUGUACCAUGCACACAUCACCUGGCUUAUGCUCUAUGCUGGGAAAUCAUUCCAGAACACAAUUCAGGGCUCAAAUGUAGAUGGCAGAAAAUGGCAGUAAUAGGGAGUAGACUCACUACUCAGAUAAUUGACACUCACUGAGCCUCUGUACUGUGCCAACCAUUGUACCAGCCCAGGAGUGCAGAGUGGGAUUCUGUGGGUUCUGAAGCUAAUCCAAUUUGAGGGUCCUCCUUAAGAAAAGAAUAAAAACUUAAAAAAAAAUAAAAUUCGGUUCAGAAUUUAAUAUUAUCUAGAAGGGACUUCAGCAAGUGAAGGCCCCACAUUAAAGUCUCAUUAGCAAUGUGGUAAAAGUAUCUCUGGGUCUUGCUUGUUAUGUAUCAUUCUAAUCCUCAUGACAGCCCAGCAAGGUGGGCAUUAUUUGUCAGAUGACAAUACUUACAGGGAUUACCCCAGAUAAGGCGUUAGGAAUCAAUUCCUUGGCUAGGGCACCUGGGUGGCUCAGUUGGUUGAGAUCUGCCUUUGGCUCAGGUUAUUAUCCCAGAGUCCUGGCAUCAAGCCCCACAUUGGGCUCCCUGCUGAGCAGAGAGAGUCUGCUUCUCCCUCUCCCUCUCCCUCUCUCACAGUGCUCUCUCUCUCUCUCAAUUAAAUAAAUAAAAUCUUUAAAAAAAAAGGGACUCAUUCUUUGGGAUGCAAACUCGUUUUUCUAGUUGAAACCCAUGUAAACUGUUGAGUUUCAGUUUAUAUCGAUGAAGGUUUGGGUUCUAUAGCCUGGAACUCCCCAAAAUGGGAUAGUACUUUUAGUUGCUGUAGGCCCCAGAGAAUGCUCCACAUCAAGGGAAGACUUGAGCAUGAAUUAGAGUCACCUGGAGGGCUUGUGAAGUCAGGUUGCUGGCCUGCUAUUUCCAGGAAUUCUCCAGUGGUGGUAAGGGUGGAGUUUGGGGGCUGGAAUCUGCCAGGUCAUGUUGAUGCUGCUGUUCCUGGACCAUACUUUCAAACAUGGACCUAGAGAAGCUGAAUUAAUUCUAGACAACACUGUUGUCUUCCUCUGGUAAAACCACAACUCCUAUCAUUCAGGUUUACUUUUACCGGCUCAGCUAAAAUGUAGCUAAACCCCAUCCUUUCACAAAAGCCUUUAGGCUGGAUUAACAGUAGCUGAAAUCCAAAAGAUGCUGAAAAGGAAAAACGUUAGUGAAGGAGUAUGUUGGACGUACAGUAUGCAACUGGACCAUGAUAAACUCAGUGUAUUUAAAUUAGCUUCACUAUAGCACAAUUUAAAAUUGUUAAUUAAAUGUAGUUAACGUAAAUUCAUAACAAAUACCCUAUUUUUUCUGCAAACUAAUAGGAAAACAAAAUCAAUGAGUAUAGUAAGAAGUCAAGGAAAGACAAUCACCAUGUAGGGGUGGGGAAAAAAAGAGACUAAGGGCAUGAAAUGUCAUUUGAAAUUGAGUUAGUAGGAUUUAAUCAAGGUAUUUAAAUGCAUUCUACAAUAGAGUACAACUUACAUUCUGUAUUUAAGUCUGAUUCAAUAUAAUAAUGAUGGACUUUUAUUACACGACAGCUAUUCAGUGAUACUUAAAAAAUGAUUGUAGACAAAUUAUCUCUCUGACAUACUACAAAAGUCACAUCCAUAAAUUAAGAUGCCAAUACUAAGCAUAUCAGGAUUUGAAAGACUUCAGUUCACUCUGAACUCUUAUGUUUCUUGAAUGUGUUUAUGGAAAGAAAAAAUGACCCUUUUGUCACUAGCAUCUCAUGAACUAUUCUGUAGUAAGCAUCCUGUGUAUUUUGCCCUUUGGUUGAAAGCCUAUGAGGCACUUUGCUUAUUCAACAAAGAAUCACUGACACCUACUAGGUGCCAAAGAUACACAAAUUAAUAAGAUACUGAUCCAGCCUUCAAAGAAUUAGUCGACUACAUUAUAGUCUUUGUCUACCUUACUUGAAUAAAGAAUGUAGAAUUAUUAAUACAACUAUCAGUAAGUCCUGUCAGAGAUAGAAAGAAAUAAUUAGAGCUUUGGAUUCAUGGAGCAUUUCCUCUGAUAAUUCUAUGGAAGUUAUAAAAAUGGAUGUUCAUAUUCAGACUUUUCUCACAGGUGAUCUUUGUAUUGAAAAACACACUAAUUUCUAAUAUAUAUAUAUAGUGGUGAAUAAGGCCCUGGUUAGAAUACUUUUUACUUUCAGGAGCAGAAGUUCAUAGGCAGAGUUGUGUGCAUUGGUGUAGGGAUUGUUUAAAGAAUAGGAAAGUGCUGAUAAUGAAAAGAAAUUUAGUGUUUUUCCAAAUGGAAAUACAGAUUUUCAGAAAAAAAGAACCACAGAUUUCCUGAAGAACUAAUGACAAAAUUUUACCUUUGAUCUAAGAUGAUACUCAAUUAAGUUGUGUCUUCCUAGAAAAUGUACCAAAGUGACAAUAAUCUUAGCUCUGACCUCCAGUCAGUUACCUAGUUUAUGGACCAGAACACAAGAAAACAAUGAUUUCCCAAUAAUUAUCAUGGACUAAAGACACCUUCAUUUAUAAGAGAUUCUGUAAGAAAAUAAAUAUAUGUUUAUAAUAUCAACAUUUGAUACUAUUCUCAUUUUCUAAAAAUGGCUGCUUUAAAUUUAUUUUAACUAUACGUUUCAUAGGCAGACAAAAAAUACUGUUCAACUAAAAAAAGCCCAAACAACCCAAACCAAAAAACCAACCAAACAAACAAAAACAACGCAGAAAACACAAACAUUUCCUAGCCAGUGUCAACUGUGUUUCUAUUAAUCUGCAAUAUCUGGAAGUGAUUCUUUUGAUCCUCUCUUAAAGUUGUUAGCAGAAAACUUUUAUUUGGUAUAACUAAGGGAACUCAUAAAUUCCUAAUGGAAGCAGAUCACUUAAAUGGUGCAAAUGCCUUACCAAAGUAGCUUCAAGUCAUAUAUAUAAAAAACUGCCUUUGUCAAUAUGAAACCAGCUUUCAGUACAUUCCACAUAUGAGGAAUGCUAUCCAUGUGCACAGUGCCUAUGACGACAUGUCCAAACACACUUCACUAGUAUCACAAUAUCUUAAAAACCUUUAUGCUUCACCAGAGUCUUCUAACACAUUCUUCUAAUGGUUUUGUUUACUCUGGUUCAUUGACUUUCAAGUUCACAUCAAGUCUUGAAACUCUGAACUAAAAGGAACCUUGGAGAUGAUUUAGUCCCUUCCCUUCCAGUUCACUUUCAGAUAUGAUUUAAGACCCAGAGAAGUCUAGUGAUAUGUCCAGGGUCCACAUCUGGGUGAUGAAAGAGCCACAACUGAUUGAAGCCCUGGUCACAUGACUUCCUGUCCAUCCACAUCACUCUCACUGUGCUCCUUGAUCAAUUGUCUUGCUUGGUGCCCUGGCACCUUCUUUGGAAUUACAUGUUCUCAGCAGCUGAGUGCAUUGCAUCUGGACAUUUGAAGAGCAAGUAAAAGAGAAGCAGGAAUUUGUACUUGGAAUUCUGGACUAGCUAGCCUUUGCUAACACACCAAACUAUUGCUAGAAGCAACAGAUACAAAGUAGGAAAGUGUUAAAACAACACACUUUGCAAAUUGUAAAGCAUGGUGCAGACAGAAGGAAUUUUCAAGAUCAUAAAACCUAAGAGAACGUUAUUAUAUGAAAGUUU